UAAAUUUGACUUAGUGAAUAGUAAUUAAAGGGAAAUUAUAAAAUGAUCUAACAUGAACAUGUAUUGAAGGAUCAUGAGCAAAGUUUGCUAUGAUUAUUGUUGAAACUCUUGAAGAGAUCAAAAUAAUUUCCCCAAAAUUUUUCCUUACUCAUGACUUUCAAAAGAAUUGUGAUAUAAAUGUUUAGCAAUUUUGAUCAAGUGGUCAUUUGAAAAGCUAGCAUUCAAGAUUGGAAUACGUAGAAUUUGAGAUAUCAUGUGAUGUUGUCAUGAGAAGGAGUAAAUACGUAUUAUACUAUUUUUCCCUUAAUCGAGG
rnacentral:lncRNA from 1 species